rnacentral:siRNA from 1 species
ACGCCUUUAAGAUUCGGUUGC